AGCGAACGUUUGCGGCGGGCCUAACACAUGCAAGUCGAACGAGAAUCUCUUCGGAGAGGAAAGUGGCGCACGGGUGCGUAACACGUGGAUAACCAACCCCCUGGUUCGGGAUAACAUCGGGAAACUGGUGCUAAUACCGGGUGUGUCUGCGAGGCCGUCAGGUCUUGCAGAGAAAGACACGCAAGGGUCGCCAGGGGACGGGUCCGCGUCCCAUCAGCUAGUUGGUGAGGUAAUGGCUCACCAAGGCGAAGACGGGUAGCUGGUCUGAGAGGAUGAUCAGCCACACUGGAACUGAGAGACGGUCCAGACUCCUACGGGAGGCAGCAGUGGGGAAUAUUGCGCAAUGGGCGAAAGCCUGACGCAGCCACGCCGCGUGAGCGAUGAAGGUCUUAGGAUCGUAAAGCUCUGUGGAGGGAGAAGAAGAA
rnacentral:rRNA from 1 species